rnacentral:rRNA from 1 species
UACGGAGGGGGCUAGCGUUGUUCGGAAUUACUGGGCGUAAAGCGCGCGUAGGCGGCAUGGCAAGUCAGGAGUGAAAGGCCUGGGCUCAACCGAGGAACUGCUUUUGAUACUGCCAAGCUAGAGUGCGGAAGGGGCAACUGGAAUUCCCAGUGUAGCGGUGAAAUGCGUAGAUAUUGGGAAGAACACCUGAGGCGAAGGCGGGUUGCUGGGCCGACACUGACGCUGAGGCGCGAAAGCCAGGGGAGCAAACGGG